rnacentral:tRNA from 5 species
GCCGGGAUGGCGGAAUCGGUAGACGCAGCGGACUCAAAAUCCGCCGCCGCAAGGUGUGUGGGUUCGAGUCCCACUCCCGGCACCA